rnacentral:rRNA from 1 species
GUAAAAGUCGUAACAAGGUCUCCGUUGGUGAACCAGCGGAGGGAUCAUUACUGAGUUACCGCUCUAUAACCCUUUGUGAACAUACCUACAACUGUUGCUUCGGCGGGUAGGCCGUCCCCUGAAAAGGACGCCUCCCGGCCCGGACCGGACCCCCCGCGGGACCGGACCCGGCGCCCGCCGGAGGAUAACCAAACUCUAUUGUAACGACGUUUCUUCUGAGUGGCAUAAGCAAAAUAAUCAAAACUUUUAACAACGGAUCUCUUGGUUCUGGCAUCGAUGAAGAACGCAGCGAAAUGCGAUAAGUAAUGUGAAUUGCAGAAUUCAGUGAAUCAUCGAAUCUUUGAACGCACAUUGCGCCCGCCAGCAUUCUGGCGGGCAUGCCUGUUCGAGCGUCAUUUCAACCCUCAAGCUCUGCUUGGUGUUGGGGCUCUACGGUCGACGUAGGCCCUCAAAGGUAGUGGCGGACCCUCCCGGAGCCUCCUUUGCGUAGUAACAUUUCGUCUCGCACUGGGAUCCGGAGGGACUCUUGCCGUAAAACCCCCCAAUUUUCCAAAGGUUGACCUCGGAUCAGGUAGGAAUACCCGCUGAACUUAAGCAUAUC